UACGGAGGGUGCAAGCGUUAAUCGGAAUUACUGGGCGUAAAGCGUGCGUAGGCGGUUGGUUAAGUCAGAUGUGAAAGCCCCGGGCUUAACCUGGGAACGGCAUUUGAAACUGAUCGACUAGAGUUGGGUAGAGGGGAGUGGAAUUUCAGGUGUAGCGGUGAAAUGCGUAGAUAUCUGAAGGAACACCAGUGGCGAAGGCGGCUCCCUGGACCCAAACUGACGCUGAGGCACGAAAGCGUGGGUAGCAAACAGG
rnacentral:rRNA from 1 species